AUGCAAAUGGUCACGUGCGGUCGUACAGCAGUGAACAUCAACGGCGAGAUUGGCCCUUUCUUCCCCACCCUACGUGGGGUCAGACAAGGCGAUCCUUUCUCCCCGUUAUUGUUCAAUAUGGUCAUGGACGCGCUAGCUUCCAUCCUUGAUAAGGCAAAAGCCGCGGGCCAUAUCCGUGGGAUCACUCCCCACCUCGCCGGGGGCUCUGGGAUAUCCAUUCUCCAGUAUGCCGACGACACUAUCAUUAUGGUUGAAGGCUCGGAGAACGAUAUCGCCAACCUCAAGUUCCUCCUUCUCUGCUUCCAACAGAUGUCGGGUCUCAAGAUCAAUUUUGACAAGAGCGAUGUGAUGGUGAUGGGAUACCCCCCCCCCCCGCCGAGUCUUUGGCCAUCACCAACAGGCUUAAUUGCCGCAUGGGCACGUUUCCCACUACUUACUUGGGGACGCCCAUUAGUGACUCCAGGCUUACCGUCGCGGACUUGCGCCCUUCCGUGGCCAAGCUUCAAACCCGCGUCGAACCCUGGCAGGGGCGGUGGUUGUCCAAAGCUGCCCGGACUAUUCUCAUCAAUUCUUCUCUCUCCAGCCUCCUCUUGUUCCUAA
rnacentral:rRNA from 1 species